AGUUAAGUUAGUUAACGGUCUGUGGAGACAUGUCAUCAUUAAUACCGUAUUUCGAGAUUAAAUCCAAAUCUCUUCACAUGGUCAGCUUUCCCAUUUAUUCACCACGUCAAACUAAGAUAACAAGCACCAGCCUUUUGGUCGCCGAGUUGCCAUCCGCCCAGCGAAGGAGCGCUUCACCACAGCGUCCAAUGAGCAUAGAGGGAACGAAAUCCCCGCCUCCGCAGCCAGCUUGGCUGCUCCCAGCAAGUAACUCUCUUCUUCAAAACUUCCAUCGGAAGCAGCAAUGGAUGAAAAGGGGUUUGGCAGCGUAACUGUAAGCAUGGACAGUAACGCGUACAGUGGACUGAGGGGGGGCCCACACACAUUCCAAGAGUCGGCCAGGCCUGCAACACUCAGGAAAAAAAAGCACACAGCAC